ensembl:lncRNA
UCACUCCCUCAGAACAUGCCCUUACCAUGUGACUAUUGUAUAACCUUAUUCUCCAGGCUUACUUUAAAAUUCAUAAGGUGAAUUCAUUGCCUGAACAUGUGCAUUGGCUGUAAUUCUACAGCAGAACUGGAAGUCACAAAAGCCAGAGAGCUUCUGAAAAAUCCUGUGCUGGGGACCUCAUGAAGUGAUGGAUCUGAAGGCCAGGAAACAGGACUUAGAAGGGAUAAGAAGGCUGAGAAAACAUAAGGACGGAUGGAUCUGUGGUUUGAAGCUUAUAAUCAAGUCAGCCUUGCUGCUGGACUCAUUCUGACCCAGGACCGUGGACCAGGUGAGGAAACCGAGGCACUGAGACUUAAGUAAAUUGCCCAAGGAGAAGACAGAGACGAGGAACAGUGAGGGGGCCAGUGUGACAAGAACAUAGGAAACAAGUGGGAGAUGACGGAAGACGAAUGUGAAGAAGUAGUAAGAGACAAGGUUCUGGAGGGUGUUGCAGGCCAUUGUAAGAAAUUUGACUUUUAUGCUGAGUGAGAUGGUAAACCAUCGGUGGGUUUCGAGCAGAAGAGUGAUGUGUUUUGACUUAUAUUUAAAAAUCAUUUUCUUGCUGCUAGGCUGAGGAGAAAUUGUAAGCAGGGGUGAGGACUGGGGUGAGCGGAGAAGGGGUGUGUAUAUCAAGAGUGGAGCCAGGCCAACCAGGUAGGAGGCCAUUGCAAUAAUCCAGGUAAGGGGAUAGGAGUGGCUUGGUUACUAAACUGACGCCAGUAUAUUGACUAUACUUGAUUGGGCCUAUCUAUAUCUCUGUUGACUAAAUAGAGAGAGGAGGUGGUGAGAGAUGGUACAUAAAAUUACUAUGUAUUUAUUGCUACUAUAUAUAUUCCUUAAUUACAAUUUACUACACAUAGAUAAAUCCGGAUGAGUGUUUUCUAUGUACACCUUAGUAUAUUUAUGGUCAACCCGUGAUGAUAAAUAUGGUAGUGCAUAUUUUACAAAGCAACUUGAAUUAUUUUGAAAACAACCCAAUGAGGUAUGCGUGUUAGUCACAUAUUGCUCCUGCCACUUAACAUAAGAGAAAACAGACUCAGUGAACUGAGAGGUUAACUUGUCUAGGAUCAUGUGAACUGUGAGUCAGAAGCCUGUGCUUUCUCCACUGAACUCAACUUCCUAACUAAGCUUGUGCCAAGGAACAUCUCAAGAUGAAAAUGAAAAAGGAGGUUACAAUUGCCAGGAUACAGAAAAGUAAGCCUACAGCAAUCCCGUUGCCGGCCGUUUAGGACAAAUGUCUACUUUCAGUAACUACCACAGUUAGUUCUCAGCCUUUAAAUCAUGUGCACUAAAAGUUCAACUUUGAUAAAAGUGGCAAAUUAUUAUAUAGAAGACCUAUUAAGAUGAAGAAAACCCAAAUAAACUAACCUUAUAAAGUCAGAUAGUGACAAAAUCUUUUCUAAGAUGAUUUUAAGUUAAGACACAGACGAGCCUUUCGAGAAAGAGCUCAAAGCAUUUUCUCUGCUCACUGUAGCUUCAAGAAUCAGCGAAACAUCCACACUCGAUUAGCUUUGAUUUCCAAUUCAUGAAAACCCAACUUGUCAUUUUUUUAAAUUUUUGCUCAAUAUGCAGUGACAUUAACUCAGCCUUUUCAAGUUUUCUUCUUUUCUUGGCUGUUAAGUAGAUUACCUCUUUUCUAACGACAAGGUCAAAACUAAGGUGAGGUACUAGUUCUAGGCACAAACUUUAUGGGGGUGUUAAAAAAAUUAGUAGUCAAGAUAAAUAAUAUUUUAGUGUGAUAUUUUUAAAAAUCAAAAUUAAUGCCAAAACAUUUAUAAUUAAUAAAAUAUCAAAAUAUCAAAAUUUUAAAUAAAGACAGUAUCAGCAUUACUGACUUCUCCUUCUGCCUUAGGCUUCGCUAUGGCUUGGUACAGCACUGGCACAUGAUAUUGCCUUCUGAUGUUUCAUGCUUCAGCGUUCUUUUUGCAUGUAGUAUUCAGUACAAGCCGAUGUGGUUUCUCUCAUGUGAGGCUGAAAUACAGGAAGAAUAAGAACAGAGACAGGGUCCACCAAGGAGGGAUCUUGCUGUUUAAUUGUGGCUUCUGAGUGGAUAGAGAGUUGCAGUGGUCGUUGUUUGUUGUCAGUGCUUUCCAGAUGAUGGGUAAUCAGUGCCCAUGGAAGUUCACUCUGGUGCAGUGCAAAGAAUAUAGGGGAAUUUGGAAGUUUUAAUUAGCUUCUCCUGGCUUCAGCUUCUUCAUCUGUAAAAAUGAGAUGACUCAACGUGAGUGUGCAACAGAAUCAUCUGCAGAACUUAAAACAAAAAACAACAGCUACUGGAGCCUCAUAAGUACCAAGUUGGGUAAGAUGCACGUGCAUUUCAAGAGCUCCAUAGGUGUGUCCUCCACUGAACUCGACUUUUCUACAGGUUCUCUUCCACUUGAAAAUACUAUUUUUAAUCACAUAUUUGUACAUGUUGCUUAUGAGAAAUUAAAUUGGCACAAGAUAUAUUAAACGCCGUAAGAAUUUGCCUGCCUUUUAACUUAAUGAGUUCUUUUGUAGGAAUUUCUUCCUCAGAAAUUACGUCAUGUACACAAACAUAUAUAUUCAAGAAUAUUCAUUCUUGAUUGUAAAAACAAACUGUUGAAACAAUAAAAGUGAUUAACACUAAGAUCUUAUUUAUGGAUAAAUAAUGGUAUAUCACUACAACAAAAUACCAUGUAGUCAUUGAAAGUUAAAUUAUAAGAGAAUAAUUAGUGAUGUGGAAAAUUUUCAUGAGAUAUUUGUAAAAUGAAGAAAAGCAGAUUUUAAAGUGUAUGUGAGUAUAAUCAUGUGUGAUUAUUAACAUGUGUGAGAAUUAUGCUGCCUGAAAGAAGUGAGACAUGAAAGAGUAUAUAUUGCAUGAUUCCAUUUAUAUAAAACUAGAAACAACAAAUCUAAUCUAUAGUGACAUAAAGCAGAUCGGGGUUGCCUGAAACUGAAACAGGGAGUGGAGAGGCGGAUGGACUGGGAAGGGCUGGAGACACAAGGCAACUUUUUGAAGUGAUGGGAAUGCUUUUCAUCUUGAUUGUGAUGGUUGCACAAGCGUAUACAUUUCAACACUGGAAAUUGGUACAUUUUAUUGUAUGGAAAUAAUACUUCAACUAAAAAUAUAGAGAGAAACUAUGUAUAAAGUUCUCUAUAAAGUGUUUUCUUAAAAACACCUAAAAUGUUAACUGUUAAAACAACUAAACUAUUGAAAUAAAACCAUGGGAACAUUAUUCCAUGUUUUUACAAAUAUAUGUAUCUAUGUCUUAAAAAUAAAUUGGAAAUAUAUAUAUAUAAAUGUAAAUACCAAUGGUAACUAUUAUGUUUGGAAGGUAAGUUAGAGUUGAUUUUUUUCUUUAUCCUUUCUUAUUUUUUCAAAAUUUCUAUAGUGAACAUAUUAUAAUUUUUAUAAUAAGAAGAUUAG